UUCUUCAACUUUAAAAUGGGAAUAAUAAAUACUUUCCCAAUAUAAGGUUAUUAUAAAAGAUCAAAUGUAUAUCAAAGCAUUAUGAAAAAUCAGUUACUAAUUUAAAGUACUAUUAAAUGUAAUUUUUCUUGAUUUCACUACAGCAACCAUUAGUGAAAUCAGUGAAAGCACAUGUGAGUCAAAGAAAAAGGGAGAAGAAAAAAAACCAGAAGAAGCCAUCCUUCAGGCUUUUGGGACUUACAUCCUGCAUUUGGGCGUUGAAGAGUGUGCAAGAUGACAACUGAAAAGACUGAAUCAUAACCUGAGCAACACCCUGUGAAUCAGAAUACAAUGCACCUCCUAGUCUCAUCACUGAUACUGGAAUUUGGACUCUGACACCUUAAUAGCAGAUGGAAAGAUGAAGAUAAAGUCAGUACAAGUGGUUUAGUCAGACCAAGCACACAAAGAAGAAAGUCACACAAGGAGGGACAGAAGAAGGGAGGAAAGACAGUAUUUAUGGAAAGGAUGACCAUAUGGAAGCCCAACACUCCUAUAUCUAUGGUAACUAUCAGAAAGAGAACUCCAUCUACCAAUGAAGAUCGGCUGUGAAAUUUAUAGCCUUAGCAAGCUACCAAAGGCACUGAGAAGUUAACUGACUUAUCCAGAAACAUAGAGCCAUACAGGAUCAUUUGUAAAACAAGUCAGACUUGUGCUUGAGGAACAUGACUUUGGCAGCAUUUCUGUGGCAAGAGAAACUGGUGAAACUGUUCAUCAUCGGCUUAUCCCAUUUCCUGUCCCAUCUCAUCUGAAAAGUGAGGGAGCAGGACUUGAUGUUCAAGUCUCAUUCAGAUGAAGAAUCAAUGAAUUUGUGAACAAAGUUUAAGAAAACAAAGAUCCUACAUGAAAAUAUCAACAAAGGUGCUUUAUUCUCGUUGGAAAAUGAAAAGAUGAAGACACCAAAGCCUGGACAGACGAAAUGCCUAGCCCAAGAUCACACAGCUACUGAGGAGCAAGACUGACUCCCAGUCCACUUGUUAUUUCCACUACAGAUCUCCUAGUCUUCUUCCUUCCCACCCAGCCACCUACCUCCCAAACCAUUAUCUCUUCCUCUUAGACAACAAGCAGUAGAUCUGUUUUUGAAUUUUUAUAUACAAAUGUGGCACAUCCUUCACAAGCAAAGGAGCAAGCUUUAAAUACAUGAAAUACCAUUUAUCCCUAACCAUGACAUCACACCUAGGCCACGGGCUCCAAACUUCCCUUAAAUCCAG